rnacentral:rRNA from 1 species
CAGUUAAAAAGCUCGUAGUUGGAUUUCGGUUGAGAACGGCCGGUCCGCCGUUUGGUGUGCACUGGCUGGUUUCAACUUCCUGUAGAGGACGCGCUCUGGCUUCAUCGCUGGACGCGGAGUCUACGUGGUUACUUUGAAAAAAUUAGAGUGUUCAAAGCGGGCUUACGCUUGAAUAUUUCAGCAUGGAAUAACACUAUAGGACUCCUGUCCUAUUUCGUUGGUCUCGGGACGGGAGUGAUGAUUAAGAGGAACAGUUGGGGGCAUUCGUAUUUCAUUGUCAGAGGUGAAAUUCUUGGAUUUAUGAAAGACGAACUUCUGCGAAAGCAUUUGCCAAGGAUGUUUUCAUUAAUCAAGAACGAAAGUUGGGGGCUCGAAGAUGAUUAGAUACCAUCCUAGUCUCAACCAUAAACGAUGCCGACUAGGGAUUGCAGGAUGUUAAUUGAUGACUCCUGCAGCACCUUAUGAGAAAUCAAAGUUUUUGGGUUCCGGGGGGAGUAUGGUCGCAAGGCUGAAACUUAAAGGAAUUGACGGAAGGGCACCACCAGGCGUGGAGCCUGCGGCUUAAUUUGACUCAACACGGGGAAACUUACCAGGUCCAGACAUAGUA